GCGGGCCUAAAUACACUUCGGAAGCGACUAGGUCCUUGCAACGCGUGCGGGAGGUUUCAUCAUGCAGCGGACGACCAACCCCGGCGCAGGACAAGGCAGUGGAGCUGCUUACAGUCACCAGGUUCCAGAUGCCACCAUGACGCCAAUCUGACUUCCCUGGGUGGAUAACCUCACCAUUGUGUCCUGGAACCACACCUCUCCAGAGCCAAGCACCAAGGGGAAAAGAUAGAAACAGGCUGGCAGUAUGGAUUGACCUGCUAAUGCCCGUGUUCAGCAGAAAAGCAAUUACAGAAACCAGACCUUCCACUUUCUGCACCCGAUGAUGAUCCUGGAUCCAUGCUCCCAGAGGGAUAAAGACUAGGAAAGCUUUCAAGGGAGGGAAUGGGAUAUGGAACUCUUGUGGUGGGAAUUGUGUGGAAUUGUACCCCUUUUAAAAUCCUAUGGCCUUGUCAAUCAUUACUAAGUCAAUAAAUACCAAAAAAAAUACAAAUAAAAGUAUCUAAAGAUG